rnacentral:lncRNA from 1 species
ACUAAAAUAUAUAAAUAACACUAUAUAUGUCAAUCACUUUUAACUGUAAUAAAUUAAUUUGUUUCAGCUGAUUUGGGCCGACCAAAUACUGAAUUCGGAUUGGUUGUUACACGUACACCAGUACUACGGUACGUACACCAGUACUAUGGCUGUUCUACGAACAGUCACCGGCAAGAAAUAAAAUUGGUUCAAAUUGAGCGGCACGUAACGCAAACGGUAACGGCCAGCGGUGUUUCUAAAUGGAUGUUAGAUAUUCCAAUACUUUAAUUUUAGUAUAGUUUUUAAUAUUUUAGUUUAUAAAUGGGCCUUAAAGGUCCCUUUAUAGACCUAAUUUCUAAAAAGAUGAGCUUAUUUGGUUUGGUAGUUUUCGAGUUAAGGCCCAAAAAGUGGGUGAACGUAAAUCGUUACACACUGUAAAACAUACGAUUACAAUAGUCUUCAAUAACAGCAUGAGCGUCAGAAAAUCCAUGGAAAUACGAGUUUUAACUUCCCAAUAUAAGCUUUAACCCACAACUGAAAGCACUAACAAUCGCGUUUUAUAUACUCGCUCGCAUCGCUUGGCCACUUUCAGCAUGACAUCGCACAUUAGUCGGCGGUGUGCACGUACCCUGAUAGUGUCACAGUGGAAAGUUCGGGCGAUAUUGAACAAAGAGAAACUACAUCCCUAUCAUUAUACACCGGUUCCAGACUUGCUUGAAGGUACUUGACUGUAAGGGAGGACCUUGAUCAGCGUUUUCCGAAUCGAUGGAUGGGGAGAGGAGGCCCCAUAUCAUGGCCUGCUAGAAGCCCAGAUCUAACUCCGUUGGACUUUCACGUAUGGGGCAGGAUAAAAGAAUGCUGUUAUUACAUUUAAACAUACAUUUUGGCAAGGUUAACCCGGACAGAAAUGCGUUAGAAGAAAAGGACUUCAUGUUACGCAAGAUCUUAAGUAGUUACUGUUUAGACUUAAUGAAUAAGAUUUUUUCCGUAUCGAAGCAAGCUUAGUACUCAUUCAAUACUUAGAAUUAGAUAAAUUUUAAUUCACAGGUAAAGUAAUAUAAUAUGUAAAAACAAAUAAAGAACUCUAAGAAUGAUGUCUACUGCGGCUAGUAAUAUUUGUUGUGAUGAAAUUGAUACAUAUUUGGUGAAUAGUACAACACAUAACCAUCAGGUAACAAGACCUAAAACUGCGUCAGCUGGACUGUAGGUGGAAAAAAGCCGGACAUCGGUCACAUGACAAAGGUUAUGACACACCUAAAUUAUGCUCAAAUGGAGACUGAUGGAAUGGAGACAGACGUUACUGAGAGAGUGUCAAUGAUGAUUUCAAUUUGUCUACUAAUACGGCGAGCAACCGAGCCGCUUUUGAGAGGAGUUACCGUUAACUUUGCACAUAGAAGCAGCCUUGGCCCAAGAAAAUUAAAAUAAUUGACCAAUAAACCCAAAGACCUAAAUAAGCAUCAUUUUCCAACAAAAAAUUAAUAUUCUUAUUUGGCGAUUGCGUCUAUUUAUCUUAGUCGUACAGAACACUAGGCGUCUAUUACGCGGUUAUUAUUAUAUUAUUUGAGCAUGAAUGUAUUUUACCAGUUAGUCGUUUAUGAAUGUUAAUGAUAAACUUUGAAAGCAAGUAAAGUCCAAAUAAAAAAAGGAUAUAUUA